rnacentral:lncRNA from 1 species
AUGUGCUCGGCCCGGCGAGUAAACAAACAUCAAAGCGCCCUUGCGAAACGCCGGAUGUUGUCAGCCAAAUUAAAUUUGGGUAACGCGGAUCCUGUUGCUCCGGCUCUGUCGGCGCGGGGCGUGCGUUGCAUGCCGGGGUGCCGGGGGGUGAAGCAAGCCACCAGCGUGCUGCCCCCACCUCCAGCGCGGCUGCGGCCGCCGCCGAGCGAGAGGAAGUCGAUCUCCGGAUUACGAGAAGUCGGUCGCUAUCAGGCGGCAGCGGGCUGUUUGCUGCCCCUUGGGGACACCAGCUACGAUGGAAGCCACAGGAGCCAUCCAUCAGGAAGUAAUCCAGAGCCAGCCUCGCUCGCCCACCUCCCUUCCACAACUGCUCCUCCCUGCCCUUUUUCAGCGUGGGAAGUACCUACACCCAAAAAGAAUAAAAAAAGAAUAAAAAAAAAAGGCCGGAACAGGACCAGGAUGAGAUUUCAGGCCAUUCGAUCUCCCCUUCUGGGAGCAUUGGGGUCACACAGAGAGCUGAGGGUGUGCAAAGCGCUCGGCACACCUUUGGCUUCCCAACCUCACGGCCAAGCACCUUGGCUGGGGAUGGAUGUGUAAAGGACUGAUCGAGGAAGCCGCAGCAAGAGUAACAUUUCUAUUUUCCACAUCCCCUUCUGGGAACGGGAGAGGAGCAGCAGCCAGACACCUGACACGGCCGGGAAGGCACGCACGAGCCCUGCGGAGAAAAGGCUCCCGGCAAGCGUGUCCCACUGUGAGGAAAACAUCUCACUGCCCCUGAGGCGGCAGCAGAAACCCUUUGGCCCUUCUCACUGCUGUGAGUCACAGGAGCUAUUUUAAACACCUGCCUUAGGAUGAGAUGAAUUAUCAGCGAGCCGCGUGUCCCACGGCUCCAGCUCCCUGGUAAUGAAGCCUCGUAGGAGCUGGUCUUGGAGAGCUUCGCUGACGUCCUGUGUGGCAAGAGGAUUAUCUCCACGGGGCAUGUGGGGAAACUGAGGCACGGCGCCCCGACUCGCCGGAGACCUUUUGCGGUGGAGCGUAAGAGCAGGGCUCAGCCUGCCUGCUUUUCCCUGCCCCAUUGCUCCCGAAAGUGAAAUGACAGCCUGGAGAAAGUGUGAGCGUGCGGCGAGAGGUUCCUGGGAUUGUUCACGGCUUGGGAAGGAGCAAGCUGUGACCACGAGGAGAGGUGGUCCCAGUGCUGCCCACAGCCUUCCUCGGGUGGGACUGGUCACCAAGCAGCUCCCAGCCUCAGCCCCGUGGUGUCCCCACAUCCCCCAGCCAAGGGGAUUCGUCCUCUGGGAGCUAUCCCAUCUCAGCCAUGGAAAACCACAUGAAUUUGGGGUGAAACGCCCCUUCCUAGACCUCCAAAAACCCCGUGGUGUAAAGGGGAGCGGGGCCAGGUGCUGGUUUCAGGCACCUGGAGCCCUGCUCGGUACCGGAGCCUCGUGUUUCAGCUCGGUGAUGCCACUUGGGGUUUACAACAACCUUCCCUAGAGCAGGGUCUGAGCUAACGCUGCUUCCGUGACACACCGAAACUGCAUCACUCGGCCCGAGAGUUGGUGGGGGUUUUUAUGAGGAAGAAACACUUUAUUCACCAUAAAAAGAAAACAUACCGCAAAAGCUUUCCAGUGUGUAAAGUUGAGUCAAAUUUAGCAACUUCAGCUAAAGAGGGAUGUUUUUAAAAGAGGUCAUCAGUGUUUUUCAUCCUUCUCCAAGCGUUUUGUCCCCUUCCUCCAGGGUAAUGUUCGUGUUUUUAAUCACCAUGUUUGUUACAGUUAGGAGGGGGUUAAGCGACCCGAAAAAUGAAACAACAGCUCUUGUUUCACACUGAAGCAGCCAUUUCAGUUAACCUGAAAUGACACAUGGGUGCGUGUCAGCGUUUGAAGGGAGAGCGGGUUGCAAGAGCGGAGAUCUCACCCUGCUGCGAAAGCUGUGAGAAAAACAGAAGCAGCAAAAUGUCAUUUCAGGUCAAACCCACACUGCAAUUCUUCACGUUCUCCCCCAAAACGUGCCGGCAGGGCUGGUGAGAAAGCAAGGCAGGGCCCCCCAGUGCAGGCAUAACCCAUUGGUACCGACCCCAAUGGAAACUGCCCCUGUGCUCCCCACUGCUCGGCACGGAUGUGCCACGGCAGCCGUGAUCUGCACCAGGAUGCUGCCCGAAGCUCAGUUCUUGCUGUAGCAUCCCCUGUGCGUGUGCACGGGGGCAGGAGUGCACACAUGUGCUCGGAUGUAUGUCGAUGCCCCCCGAGCAUAUGGGUCUGGCUGGAUUUGGCACGUGUUGGCCAGCUGAGACUCGACAGCAAUCAAAGCUCAGCCACAGGCUUGGAUUUCAGUCCUUGGCAUCCCUUUUGUCCCAUCCCUUGGUUUUCAGUCCUUGGCAUCCCUCUUGUCCCAUCGAUUGGAUUUCAGUCCUUGGCAUCCCUUUUGUCCCAUCCCUUGGAUUUCAGUCCUUGGCAUCCCUCUUGUCCCAUCGAUUGGAUUUCAGUCCUUGGCAUCCCUUUUGUCCCAUCCCCACGUCUUUUGGGGAGGGGAGCAGAGCCUGUGAGCCGCCAUCCCUUCUCAGGCCCUCGGGUCACUCUCCUGUUUUUCUAGCAGGGUGUUUCCAAACAGCCUUUGAUAAAUUCAGCAACCCAAGCAUGAGAAGAUGAGCUGUGAAUUGCUGUUAAAAAGCAGGAGGGAGAUCUCCAGCAAGGAUUUAUCCCUCGGGCUGGGGAGGGACAGCAAAGGGAACCCACCCUGCCCAGCUGGAGGGGCCAGCAGGCACCCGGAGGAGGCUGUGCAGGGACCUGCAGGUGCCAGAAGUGGCUCUAGGACAGCUGGACACACGCAGCCUCCCACUGACACCGAGGGGAUGGUUUCCAUUUCUCGGUGUGCUGAGCUUUCAUGCUUCCCACCGCCGCCUUGCACGUGGCAAUCACGUCCCAAACCCAGGGCAAAUUCCUCGCACCUGGGCGGCGUUUGCAGUCGUGUUACGGGACGGGGAGCUCUGCGGUAAUGCAAAUGGACGUCCCACCUUGCAGACCACACGCUUUGAGCCACGUUGCUCUGGCUGGAAGGAGCAGUAUUUCUGUCCCAGUUCAGACCAGCCCCUUUCUGGAAGCCCUGCUUGCCCUCCUGACCGGGAUGGCACUGACCCCCCUGCAGCUGGGAGCCUCAAAAAGCUCUAUUUUUGCUAGUUUUAAGUUUCCUUUCUCCGCUUCAGCCUCGGGAUGGGAAAAGGAACCGAUUCUUCUCGCUCGGCUUUCGUUCUCGUUCAGAACCGAAAGCUGCCACCCUUCUGGGCUCGCUGCUCUGCUCCUGGCCACGCCGUGCCCCCAAAAAAAACCUCCUGCCCCAGAGCACCUGGCAGGGAAACAGCAGCAAGUGGACUUACACCACUGCACCCGCACCUAGGCCAGGCUUUGUGGCUGCAACAAGCCUGUGCCGCCCUCUGCUGUCAGCGCCGUCCUUAGAAAAGAUAAUUUUUCUGCAGAAAUGUGCCUGCAAUUUUUACUUCCCUCUCGCUUUGUGAGCACACGCAGCCCUCCCGCUCCCCAAAGGGUUUCCCCACUGCACUCGGGGUGAUGCUGAGGGGACAGGGACAGCAGAGCUGGGGGUGGCAGCUGUCCCUUGGCUGGCUCGGGUGUCCCAGUGCCUGAGGUGUCCCCGAGGGGCUCCCUGCCCGCUGCAAAUAGGGGAAACUGAGGCACGGGCUGUGGCACUGACUCGUGGCCCUGCCAGCCACCAGGCGCUGCUGAAUGAGGCCAAGGUAGCACGGGGCCAUCGUGCCUCGCCCCGUGGGAUCUGGAUGUCCCCAUGUCCCCAGGGCCUUGGUGGCAGCACGCGGCCUGUGCCUGCUGCCAUGGGGGCCUGGCACUAGGGGCUGCCCCCAUGGUGGGGUUUUCUCCUCAGGGAUGACAGAGGGGGCUGGUGGGGUCCCAAGAUGUCACCACAAAGUCUGUUUGGGGGGGUCAUUUUUUAUUUGCUUGGGGGGUUAUUUUCUUUAUUUUUGUGUUUAUUUGUUUUGAUCUCUGCAACUGCCUGAAAGGAAGGUGUGGGGACAGGGGACAGGACCAGAGGGAACGGCCUCGAGCUGUGCCAGGGGAGGUUGAGGUGGGCAAUGAGGAGCCAUUUCUGC